CCUCCUCGCACUCCACCCUCCACAGGGCCUAGACAGGGCCUCCCCCCAGCUGCCAGCUUGCAAGUUCCUCCCACACUGGGGUCUGUGGUGGUUGCUCCAGGGGUGGGACGUCCAGGAGCCACUGGGGCUCGGGGCUGCCCAGCUUUGCUGAGAGUCCCGGGAACCAGCAGAGGCCCCUCGGCCCCAGUGCUGGGAUCUGCAGAGGAGAGGAAGAGGAGGACAAAAAAGCAGGUUGGGACAGUGGUCAGCAAAGACAGGAUAAGAGGCUCUGUCGACGUGCCGUUCACCGCGCUUCAGGGUUGUCCUCUUACAGGCCCCCUGGCGGGUCUUGGUCAGUCCAGAGGGCCAGGCCGGCCACCCACCUGCCUCCAGGGGACAGGGUGUGGGGGAGCCGCUGACCACAGCUGCCCAGGAGCCCUGCCUCGGACCGAGUCCUCAUGAGAAUGCUGACAGAGCAGGGACCCUCACCCGCAGGGGAGCAGGGCUCUAGCAAGUGGAGUAUUUUGGAUUUAGCCUCCUGGAGGUACUGAACUUCUUGCUAAACUUUAUGGCCCCCUACAUCUCGCCUACAUUUUUCUAAGGACCGAGUUUUUUCUGGUCUGAUCAUGAAAAUAUAAGAGGUCUUUUGUAAAAAUGUAAGAUAAAUCGGGGCAGUAAAGAAAAUAAAUAUCACCUGUCGCCCUUACUGCACAGAAAUAACAACUGCUCUGAAACGUGGUGAAUAAUAACGCGGGUCUUUUUACACACACGAGGUUUUGGCAGCAUGCUGCUUUUCUCAUUUACUAUUUUAUAUUUCACGAAUCCUUUCCUGUUAAGUACUUUUUAAAGACACCACCGAAGUGUCUUCGUUCGGAGCACACAGAGGUCUUUCGGCUCGGGCCCUGCAGGCCCUGGCGGCGCCGCCGGAAAGCCCGUCUUCUCCGGGGAUGUGAGGGGCGCGGGCCGAGGCUGACGUGGCGGGAGAGCCCCAGCGCGCGGCCGCGUGCACUGUAAACAGUUAAUAGCCCAUCUCUCGCUCUGAGGAGCUCCUCCCCGCGAUGAUGCAGGGUGGAAUAAAAACCCUGAUUAGUUUAGAUCUUCCCCGAGCCCCGGGAGGCGCCCGGGACGCCCUCGCGCGCGCAGGCUCUCGCGGCUGCGGGGCCUCCAGCUCUGGCGCCGCAGAUCCGGCGUCUCGGACGGGAAGCCGCGUCUCCUCUCACUCCCGCGGAGACGAACCCGCUUCCUGCUCGCACGCACACCCGUGGGCUGCUUUCCUUUAGGAGGACGAAGCGGAACAGGUCGGGUUGUCACGGGAAGAAAAUGGAUCUGGACUAAUUCAUGGCACGUGGACACCCACGCGUCCAGAGGGACCGCAGGAUCCUGGAAAUCAUCUCAAAAUCAGUUCGCAAAGAGCUUUCUGAUUCCAUUUUAUGGCUGCAUAGAAGUCCUCUGUUUGAGCCAAAAUUGAGCUAACAAAUUCCUCAUAAAUUGACAUUUGGGUUGUUUCCAUCUUUUGCUAUCACAAACGAAGCGUCAGGAUAAUGGUGGAACAAGUCAUUUUGUACGUCUGAUAGAAUCAUGUACGCUUUUGAAUCUAAGUGGACUGGUGAUCUGACGUGAAUAGCUGACUCACUGGAAAAGUCCCUGAUGCUGGGAAAGAUUGAGGGCAGAAGAAGAAGAGGGUGUUAGAGGAUGAGAUGACUUGAUGGCAUUACUGAUGCAAUGAGCGUGAACUGAGACAAACUUUGAGAGAUGGUGAAGGACAGGGAGGCCUGGCGUGCUGCAGCCCAUGGGGUUGAAAACAGUCAGACACAACUGGGCGACUCAACAGCAAAGUGGGCUGGAAAUGGAAAGGAAUUAGCUGAGGGAAGGCGAAUGUAGUUUCCCGAUAAGGGCUCUGUGUUAUGCAUGAAGCCUGGCCCCUCGCACCGAUGAAUAAGUGUGAGCGAUUUGCUUCCGAAGCCAGCAGGGGAUUCCGAACGGUGGCCAGAUUCCUGCUCUAGAAAAUCAAAAGGAUGCUUCGCAGAGAGCUAAAGAAGAUGGUGGAGGAGUAAGACGGGGAGAUCGCUUGCCUUCUCACAAACACAUCAAAAACUCAUCAAAACAUGAAAC
ensembl:lncRNA